GUACACGCUGUGACUAGCAUAUCAAUAAGCGGAGGAAAAGAAACUAACAAGGAUUCCCCUAGUAACGGCGAGUGAAGCGGGAAGAGCUCAAAUUUGAAAUCUUAAAGGGUUUCCCUUUACGAAUUGUAGUUUAAAGAAGUGUUUUCUGUUGAGGUUUUGGUAAAAGUUCUUUGGAAUAGGACAUCAUAGAGGGUGAGAAUCCCGUAUUUGACCUUUACUUUCAACUUUGUGAUACACUUUCAAAGAGUCGGAUUGUUUGGGAAUGCAGUCCAAAAUGGGUGGUAAAUUUCAUCUAAAGCUAAAUAUUGGCGAGAGACCGAUAGCGAACAAGUACCGUGAGGGAAAGAUGGAAAGAACUUUGAAAAGAGAGUUAAACAGUACGUGAAAUUGCCAAAAGGGAAGCGUUUGACACCAGUGUUGUUUUUCUGAAAAUCAAUUAAAGAACUGUCUAUGCUAAGCUGUUUAGACUUUAUCAGCUAUCUGUUUAGUUUUGAGCUUUUCUUUAAUGCACUUUUCAGUUAACAAGUCAACAUCAAUUUCUUUUGCUGUAAAAAAGCUUGAGGAAGAUGGCUUGAGAUUCGUCUUAAGUGUUUAUAGCCUCUUGCCUAUGCAGUCGGAGAGAUUGAGGUCUGCAGCGUAGAUCCUUCGGGGCUAAAUGCAUUUGUGCUAAGUUAUAGCAUUUUUAUAGGACAACUUGUUGACUAUAAUUAGUCUUGUAGCUUACUCGCUUAUGUUAUUUUACCUACGCUUAGGAUGUUGAGCGCAUGUCUCUCUCU
rnacentral:rRNA from 1 species